rnacentral:rRNA from 1 species
UUAGUAACUGCGAGUGAAGAGGGAAAAGCUCAAAUUUAAGAUCUGGCAGCAUUUUGUUGUCCGAGUUGUAACCUAGAGAAGUGUAACCUGUGCUGGACCGUGUAUAAGUUUCCUGGAAUGGAGCAUCACAGAGGGUGAGAAUCCCGUCUUUGACAUGGACUACCAGUGCAUUGUGGUUGUGCUCUCAACGAGUCGAGUUGUUUGGGAAUGCAGCUCUAAAUGGGUGGUAAAUUCCAUCUAAAGCUAAAUAUUGGCGAGAGACCGAUAGCGAACAAGUACCGUGAGGGAAAGAUGAAAAGAACUUUGGAAAGAGAGUUAAACAGUAUGUGAAAUUGUUGAAAGGGAAACGUUUGAAGUCAGUCGCGUUAGCUGGGGAUCAGCCUGACAUUGUUGGGUGCACUUCCUGGUUGACGGGCCAACAUCAGUUUUGACUGCCAGAAAAAGGCCAAGGGAAUGUGGCACCUUUGGGUGUGUUAUAGCCUUUGGUCAUAUAUGGUGGUUGGGACUGAGGAAUGCAGUGUGCCGAAAGGCCGGGUUUCGACCACGUUCACACUGAGGAUGUUGGCAUAAUGGCUUUAAGCGACCCGUCUUGAAACACGGACCAAGGAGUCUAACAUGCAUGCGAGUGUUUGGGUGGAAAACCCUUACGCGUAAUGAAAGUGAAAGUUGAGAUCCCUGUCAUGGGGAGCAUCGACGCCCGGACCAGAACUUUUGGGACGGAUCUGCGGUAGAGCACGUAUGUUGGGACCCGAAAGAUGGUGAACUAUGCCUGAAUAGGGUGAAGCCAGAGGAAACUCUGGUGGAGGCUCGUAGCGAUUCUGACGUGCAAAUCGAUCGUCAAAUUUGGGUAUAGGGGCGAAAGACUAAUCG